GGGCGAGUGGCGGAAUUGGUAGACGCGUUGGUCUUAGGAACCAAUAUCGCAAGAUGUGAAGGUUCGAGUCCUUUCUCGCCUACCA
rnacentral:tRNA from 1 species